rnacentral:rRNA from 1 species
GACGAACGCUGGCGGCGUGCCUAACACAUGCAAGUCGUGCGAGAAGUCUUUUGCUUGCAUUAGACGGAAAGCGGCGAAAGGGAGAGUAACGCGUGGAUACCUACCUCCAGGUUCGGGAUAGCUGCGGGAAACUGCGGGUAAUACCGAAUGACAUCUCCGGAUCAAAGGUGUGAUUCCGCCUGGAGACGGGUCCGCGUCCUACGAGCUUGUUGGUGGGGUAACGGCUCACCAAGGCUAAGAUGGGGAUCAGGCGUGAGAGCGUGAGCUGACUCAGUGGGACUGCGACACCGCACAGACACAUACGGGUGGCUGCAGUCGAGAAUCUUCGGCAAUGGGCGCAAGCCUGACCGAGCGACGCCGCGUGCGGGAUGAAGGCCCUCGGGUUGUAAACCGCUGUCAGUUGGGAGGAAAUCACAUGGGGUUCUCUCCAUGUGUUGACCUAUCUUCAGAGGAAGGACGGGCUAAGUUCGUGCCAGCAGCCGCCGUAAGAC